GCAACCAGGGGUUUUCUGCGUUUUCAGUGAUCAAGAGAAAAUCCAGCUUGUGCACAGCAUAGGAUGUUAGAACUGGAAACCACCCUCCCUUUGCUCAGAUCGCCAAGGCCUGGGGAGCAAGGAUCAGGACUGCUCAGAUUCACCCAGACCCCGUAACUCUGGGGACCAGGGCUCCCUACUGGACACAUCCGUGCUGUUCCACUUAACUCUUGCCAAGGAUGUGAGGUAAACACCACUCUGCCAGCAAGGACACUGCUGCUCGGCUGGGGCCCCUAUGCCAUCCUGUAUCUAUACGCAGUCAUCGCAGACGUGACUUCCAUCUCCCCCAAACUGCAGAUGGUGCCCGCCCUCAUUGCCAAAAUGGUGCCCACGAUCAAUGCCAUCAACUAUGCCCUGGGCAAUGAGAUGGUCUGCAGGGGAAUCUGGCAGUGCCUCUCACCGCAGAAGAGCGAGAAGGACCGAACCAAGUGAGCCUGCCACCCUGGAGUGAGCCCCAGGCCAGGAGGCUGUUCCAAGAGUCCUGUCCAGCAGCCUCAGUGGCCAAGCCCAGACACUCACCCACCUUCCCCAGUGGCCCUGUGGAUCCUGGUCCUAGGCUGGACACAAGGAUUCAGAAAGACACCAGGCUGCACAGAAAGAGCCAGAUGGACCUGAGUGUCGGUAACAGCCCCCUACACUCAAGGCUGAGAGGCCUCAGGAAAGUCACUCCUUUUUAAAAAUAAUAAUAAAUGUAAGGGGGUACAGUGCA
rnacentral:sRNA from 1 species